rnacentral:rRNA from 1 species
AAACGCUUGGAGUCAGUCGCUUUGCCGCGAGCUCAGCCUUGCUUCUGCUUGGUGCACUCUCGCGGUGAGGGGCCAGCGUCGAUUUCAGAUGCGGGAUAAUGGUCUGGAGAAUGUGGCACCUUCGGGUGUGUUAUAGCUCUGGAUCGCAUGCCGUGUCAGGGAUCGAGGUUCGCAGCGCGCCCGCAAGGGUUGGGGAUUCGUCUCACACCACGCGCUUAGGAUGCUGGCGUAAUGGCUUUAAGCGA